rnacentral:rRNA from 1 species
UACGUAGGGGGCAAGCGUUGUCCGGAUUUAUUGGGCGUAAAGAGCGUGUAGGCGGCCUGAAAGGUCAGCUGUGAAAACUCGAGGCUCAACCUCGAGACGUCGGUUGAAACCAUCUGGCUAGAGUCCGGAAGAGGAGUGCGGAAUUCCCGGUGUAGCGGUGAAAUGCGCAGAUAUCGGGAAGAACACCCGUGGCGAAGGCGGCACUCUGGGACGGUACUGACGCUGAGACGCGAAAGCGUGGGGAGCGAACAGG